rnacentral:sRNA from 12 species
UGCGUUCAUGGGUGUCUCGUAUAUCGGUUCGAUUCUACUAAUACCCAAGUUGAUUAUAAGGGGGUGGGAUGAUUCUG